CCACUUUGUACAAGAGAUGCUUUGAUGAUUUUCCAAGCAUUUCUGAAAUUAUCAAUUAAAGGUGAAAAAGAUGUAUGAUAUUGACAGAAAAAAACCAGCUGUAAUGGAAGAUACAAAUUAUUUUUUGAAAUUCAUCAAGUACUUCGCACUUGUCUGCUGGCACAGUAACACCUUGAGAAUAUUCUUCAUAUUUAAAAGAUAAAUAUCCAAUGGUGAUUUUCUUGCGAUUCCUCCAAAGUGCU